GUGGGGAAUAUUGGUCAAUGGCCGGAAGGCUGAACCAGCCAUGCCGCGUGCGGGAAGACGGCCCUAUGGGUUGUAAACCGCUUUUGUGUGGGAGCAAUAAGCAUCACGUGUGAUGCGAUGAGAGUACCAUACGAAUAAGCAUCGGCUAACUCCGUGCCAGCAGCCGCGGUAAUACGGAGGAUGCAAGCGUUAUCCGGAUUUAUUGGGUUUAAAGGGUGCGUAGGCGGCGCGUUAAGCGUGAGGUGAAAGCUCGGGGCUCAACCCCGGAACUGCCUCGCGAACUGGCGUGCUGGAAUGCUCCUGCCGUGGGAGGAAUGUGUGGUGUAGCGGUGAAAUGCAUAGAGAUCACACAGAACACCGAUUGCGAAGGCAUCUCACGAAGGGGUUAUUGACGCUGAGGCACGAAAGCGUGGGGAUCAAACAGG
rnacentral:rRNA from 1 species